CCCUCGACCCCUUGUUGGCGCGCGCCCCCCGGACUCGUCCGGGCCUUCGCGCCGGCCCCAAACGAACCCCGGCGCGAUCCGCGCCAAGGAAAACAUAACUCGAGAGCGCCUCGUCCUCCCGUCGCCCCGUUCGCGGUGCGCGCGCGGUUGGGCGGUCGCUUCUUAGUGAAAUCAAAAACGACUCUCGGCAACGGGUGUGAUUGCAGAUCCGUGACCAUCGAGUCUUUGAACGCAAGUUGCGCCCGAAGCCAUUAGGCCGAGGGCACGUCUGCAUGGGCUUCACGCAUCGCGUCGCCCCCCCAAACAAACAAAACAUGAUUGGGGGAGCGGAUACUGGCCUCCCGUGCCUCGCGGCGCGGCUGGCUCAAAACGGAGUCCCCCGCGGAGGACGCACGAUAAGUGGUGGUUGAUAACAAGGCCCUCGCGUCCCGUCGUGCACAAGUCCUGUGCGGAGUUGGCUCUCGUGACCCUGACGCGCCUUCGUUUCGGCGACGACGCUCCGACCGCGAACCCAUGUCAGGCGGGACUACCCGCUGAGUUUAAGCAUAUCAAA
rnacentral:rRNA from 1 species